UUUUAAAUUUUAUUAUUAAUAUUUUUUUAAUAGACGAAGCAAGAUCAGAAGCAACAUUUCGCUAUACAGUGGAAAAUCUUUCUAAAAUGAAAGAAACUCAAUUAUCACCUCCAUGUUAUGUUCGUAAUUUACCAUGGAAAAUAAUGGUAAUGCCAAGAUCAAGUCAAACACAAGAUAGAGCUCCUCAAAAAUCACUUGGUUUCUUCUUGCAAUGUAAUGGAGAAAGCGAAUCAUCGUGGAGUUGUUAUGCAGUUGCAGAUCUUCGAUUACUUUCUUGUAAGGAAGGACAGGAACCAUUUAGUAGAAAGAUUCAACAUCUUUUCUAUAGUAAAGAAAAUGAUUGGGGAUUUAGUCAUUUUAUGACAUGGCAAGAUGUUUUGGAUCCUGAUAAAGGUUUUAUUAAAGAUGAUUCUAUUACACUUGAGGUUCAUGUCAUGGCUGAUGCUCCACAUGGUGUCAGUUGGGAUAGUAAAAAGCAUACAGGAUUUGUAGGUUUAAAAAAUCAAGGUGCUACAUGCUAUAUGAAUUCUUUGCUUCAAACUUUGUAUUUUACUAAUCAGUUACGUAAAGCUGUCUACAAAAUGCCGACUGAAAGUGAUGACUCUAGCAAAAGUGUUGCUUUGGCUUUACAAAGGGUAUUUCAUGAAUUGCAAUUCUCUGAUAAACCAGUAGGUACAAAAAAAUUAACUAAAAGUUUUGGUUGGGAAACAUUGGAUUCUUUUAUGCAACAUGAUGUACAAGAAUUUUUACGUGUGCUUUUAGAUAAGUUGGAAAGUAAAAUGAAAGGUACAUGUGUAGAAGGUACAGUGCCAAAAUUAUUUGAAGGAAAAAUGGUGUCAUUUAUCAAGUGUAAAAAUAUUGAUUAUAAAUCAACUAGGGUUGAAACUUUCUAUGAUAUACAAUUAAAUAUUAAAGGAAAGAAAAAUAUUUAUGAGUCGUUUAAUGAUUAUGUGAGUACUGAAAGUUUGGAUGGUGAUAAUAAAUAUGAUGCGGGAGAAAAUGGUUUACAAGAGGCGGAAAAAGGUGUUAUCUUUUCAUCAUUUCCACCAGUAUUGCAUUUACAUUUAAUGCGAUUUCAAUAUGAUCCAGUUACAGAUUGUUCUGUGAAAUUUAAUGAUAGGUUUGAAUUUUAUGAAAAAAUAAGUCUUGGCAAAUAUUUACAAAAUAAAGAAACAACAAGUGCAGAUUACACAUUGCAUGCAGUCUUAGUUCAUAGUGGAGAUAAUCAUGGUGGACAUUAUGUUGUAUUUAUCAAUCCAGCUGGUGAUGGAAAAUGGUGCAAAUUCGACGAUGAUGUCGUCUCAAGGUGUACAAAACAAGAAGCUAUUGAACAUAAUUAUGGUGGUCAAGAUGAGGAUAUGUCUAUAGCUGUGAAACAUUGUACGAAUGCCUAUAUGUUGGUGUACAUAAGGGACUCUGAGUUGGAAAACGUCUUACAAGAAGUUAAGGAAGAGGAUAUACCUCAAGAGCUGGUGGAGAGGCUGCAAGAGGAGAAGAGGCUGGAACAAAUACGAAGAAAGGAAAGAACAGAAGCAUACUUAUAUAUAACCGUCAACGUCCUUCUUGAGGAUAAUUUUGACGGUCACCAAGGGAAUGACUUGUAUGAUCCAGAACAUGCUUUGUAUCGUGUAUUUCGCGUACGUAAGCAGUGUACCUUGCACGAGUUUCUCGAAUUGCUGAGUGAUAGCUUGAAAUAUCCAAUAGAGCAAAUUCGUCUAUGGCCAUUGAAUGUACGUUCAAAUCAAACUUGUAGACCAAUGCCAAUUGAAUUAGAAAAUGAUCUUCAAAAAUCUAUUUAUCAAUGCGCGGAAAACCCGAAUGUUUGGAAUGUAUUUGUUGAACUUGUUCCUCCAGAUUCUGAUUUAACAGCAUUACCACCUUUCGAUAAAGAUACUGAUGUUCUUUUAUUUUUUAAAUUAUAUGAUCCUAAAAAUAAAAAGAUUCAUUACUGUGGACAUCAUUAUAUGCCUGUCACAGCUAAAGUCCAGGAACUUAUACCAAUUUUAAAUGAGAGAGCUGGUUUUCCACCUGAUACGGAAUUAGCUCUUUAUGAAGAAAUUAAGCCAAAUUUGGUAGAAAAAAUAGAUAAUCUAACAGAACCAUUAGAAAAAGUUCUUGAAGAAUUAAUGGAUGGAGAUAUUAUUGUUUUUCAAAAAGAAGGAGACAAUCAAAUGUAUGAGCUUCCAACAUGUAGAGAAUAUUUUAAAGAUCUAUUUCAUAGAGUAGAAGUUACAUUUUGUGAUAAAACGAUUCCUAAUGAUACUGGUUUUACAAUGGAACUUUCAUUAAGAAUGACAUAUGACCAAAUGGCAAAAGCUGUGGCACAGAGACUUGGUACAGAUCCUUAUCUUCUGCAGUUCUUUAAAUGUCAAACUUACAAAGAUUCACCUGGACAUCCAUUAAAAUGUACAUUUGAAGGUUCAUUGAAAGAUUUGGUUUCUUAUUGUAAACCUAAAGCGAAAAAAUUGUAUUAUCAACAGCUUAGUAUUAGGGUAAAUGAACUUGAAAAUAAAAAGCAAUUCAAAUGUAUAUGGGUUGGUCCAUCUCUUAAAGAAGAAAAGGAAAUUAUUCUUUAUCCUAACAAAAACGGAACAGUAGCAACAUUACUUGAAGAAGCUAAAAAACAAGUAGAAUUAUCAGAAAAUGGAUCCGGAAAAUUAAGGAUAUUAGAAAUUAAUUCUAGUAAAGUCUCACCUGGUCCAAGAGAAGAUGUACCUUUAGAUAACUUAAAUACAUCUGGUACAAAAUUAUACAGGAUAGAAGAAAUUCCAAAUGAUGAAUUAAAUUUGGCAGAUGAUGAAAUGUUGGUUCCUGUUGCACAUUUCCAUAAAGAUAUUUUUUCAACAUUUGGUAUUCCCUUUUUCUUUAAAAUCAAACAUGGUGAGCCUUUUCCAAAAAUGAAGGAAAGACUAUUGAAGAAAUUGGGAGUACAGGAAAAAGAAUUCGAAAAGUUUAAGUUCGCGGUGGUAACAAUGGGUAAACCACACUUUAUUAUGGAUUCGCCAGAAUAUUGCAUGGAUCUUGCAGAUUUUCGUAUUCAUCCAAAUCAAAGCACAUCGCCACUUAGGCCUUGGCUUGGCCUAGAACACGUCAACAAAGCGCCAAAGCGCUCUCGUAUCAACUACCUCGAAAAGGCCAUUAAAAUUUACAAUUAAAUUUUCAUCAUACGAAAAAGAAUAAAAUUAGGCAGCCACUCAUAUAAUUUAUACGACUCUAUAGUAAGAAAGCAACGUCUGAUAUACGAUGGUUGGAAAUGCGUUUGUAUUCGGUUCUUCAGCCAGAUAGUACACAGUUUUAAUAUUAUGAUCAUGUUAACGAAAGGGAUUUUACGUAAUGGCUGGAUCGAUGGUACUACAUUGAUUCCACUAUGCCUCCAACAAUGGAUUAGACACUUCUCUCUACGAAAUCAAUUUUUAUGUUUGUAAAUAUUUUGCUGAUCAAUGGCAAUUAUUUAACAAAUAUUUUUGAAAACAUUGUUUUCAUUAUAUUCGAAUCUAUCAAGAACAAGAAUUUAUUUAAACGCAUAUUUUAGUACUAAAUAAAGAAAUACGGAUAACAACUGCAGAAUGAAGAAAACUCGUAUCAGGAAACAAAAAGGUAUUUAUAAAUAUAGCGUACUACUUCUGUACAGUACAUUUUUUCUCGAAAUUUUAGUUAUUUGAUCCUGCCACGUAAAAUCUUUGUAAUUGAAUAUAACAAGAUCCAAAGAAACACUAUGUACUGUUCUUCGUGAUGUAAUAUUUAAUACCCAUAAUCAGAAAAAAAUUGUCUAUAUAUACUCGUUUUAUAUCACAUUCAGGAUGUUUGAAACGCAAACUUAUAAUUAAUAUUGUAAUCUUACAUUCUAUAUAUUUCUUUGCAAAAUAAUAAAUAUUAAUUAAAAUUUUACAUCAUUUCUUAAUGCAUUUUUAUAUAUAAAAUAUAAUUUAAUUAAACUUUAAUUGUAGAAUGAUAUAAUUAAAUUAUAUAUUUCUUAGCAAAAUUAUUAUGACAAAAUAUCCACAAAAUAAUUUCUAAAAUUUCUGGAUUGUCUUCCAAACAUCCUGAAAUUUUUUGUUUGAAUAUUCUUUGUGUGUUUUAUGCGUAUAUAUAUUUUAUUGAGAUUCUAUGAAAUUUUGCAAAUAUGUAAUAAUAGAUUAACAUUAAUAACGAAAUAAUCUCAAUUACAAUAUCAGAAAAAAAAAAGGAAAAACACAUUGAAUAUAGCAAAUUCAUCACGAUUUAAGCAAAUUAUAUAGAAUAUAUUAGAAGAUAAAAAUUAUUUAAAAAGAAGGGUCAUUUCACAAUUUCAUUAAUCAAGCUUUUUUUUGUUUUAUUAAUUAUUUCAUAAUUUUGUUCUUUUAUUUUUUAUUCACUGCAUACACUUUACGCGAUAACUUGCCACGAUAUUAUUACAAGAUUUCUUAUUAUUUAUGGAUCAUCUUUUAUUCAACAUUUUCUCCUGUCUGUAACUGUGAUUAAAGUCUUUCUUCGAGACGUUUUAAUUCAUGGCUCCACAAUACCUAAGAAUGUUACUAAAUAUUGAGAGAAGAUGGAGCGAUUUAUUCAAUUUAUUUAAUAAAUAAAUUUUUUUCUAAGAGUUUAGUUUAUUAUAGUUAUUUAAAAAAAAAGAAAGAAUUUUAGAAGUUCAAUACAAAACUCUUAAAAUAUAUCAAGUUGAUGAUUUUAAUUCAAGUUAAUUAGUUAGUCUAUUAGAAUAAUUGCUACAACACAAUUGGAACGAUAAUUUAUAUUGAUAUAUUAUAUAAUUUAAAGAAAUGUAUUAAAUGUAGCUCUUAUGAGUAUGUUAUUAUUCUGAUGAUGCCACGUUUUUUAAAGCGCAUUUCAACAUCGACGAAUAAUUACUAUAAAUUGAUAAUAAAUAAGAAAUUUAUGCGAUGUGCAGUAAUAUUUAUGAAGACUGGACAUGCUAAUUGUGAAGAUUGCAAUAUUUUGUAAACCCAAACGUGAUUGUACAGCUAGUUUGACUAACUACAGCCGUAAUUUUAAUCAUGUAUAUGCUUUCAUAUGUUUCAUUGUAAACAUUCAACUGCAGUUGAUUAUUUUUGUUCUUCAAAAUAAUUUUAAUAUAUAUCCUAUUAAAAAUUUAGAAUUUCUGCAAUUAUUUUAUUAUGUGGUUUUGAACAAAUUCAAAUUUUCUUUGUUCUUUUUUUCUUCUUUUAACUCAUAAAAUUGUUAAUCAUGGAAAGAUAAAAUACUAAAGAAAUAUUAAAUAAUUUUUAGAAUUGAGAAAAUUAAUAAUUUCAUUUCUGUAAUUAAAUUAUGUAUGAAAAUCAUUCUGAUUCUUUUUAAUGAUAAUUUUUUUGAUUUGCUUUUUUGAUAAAAGCAAUGCAGAAGUUUCGAUUGAAGGAAUAGCGUGUCUAUAUAUAUAUAUAAUAUAUAUAUAUAUAUAUAUUAUAUAUAUAUAUAUNCAUAUGUAUAUUAAUUGUAUACAUAUACAUUUUAUUGUUACGUUCCUCAAUGAAUACUAACAGUAAUGAUGAUUUCGAAGUUGAAGAUAGAUGAAUAUCACUUGUGACAAUGUUAAUAGUAACUAUGUAUUUUUUGCACUAAAUCAUAUAAAAAUUAUAUUGGAAGAAAAUUAUUUAAGUUAUUGUAUUAUAAAAUAAUAAAAAAAAAGAAAACAAAAA
rnacentral:misc_RNA from 1 species